rnacentral:rRNA from 1 species
UACGGAGGGUGCAAGCGUUGUUCGGAAUUACUGGGCGUAAAGCGCGUGUAGGCGGCUUUCUAAGUCUGGUGUGAAAGCCCGGGGCUCAACCCCGGAAGAGCAUUGGAUACUGGGAAGCUGGAGUACCGGAGAGGAGGGUGGAAUUCCUGGUGUAGCGGUGAAAUGCGUAGAUAUCAGGAGGAACACCGGUGGCGAAGGCGGCCCUCUGGACGGAUACUGACGCUGAGACGCGAAAGCGUGGGGAGCAAACAGG